rnacentral:rRNA from 1 species
GACGAACGCUGGCGGCGUGCUUAACACAUGCAAGUCGAACGGAAAGGCCCUGCUUUUGUGGGGUGCUCGAGUGGCGAACGGGUGAGUAACACGUGAGUAACCUGCCCUUGACUUUGGGAUAACUUCAGGAAACUGGGGCUAAUACCGGAUAGGAGCUCCUGCUGCAUGGUGGGGGUUGGAAAGUUUCGGCGGUUGGGGAUGGACUGGCGGCUUAUCAGCUUGUUGGUGGGGUAGUGGCUUACCAAGGCUUUGGCGGGUAGCCGGCCUGAGAGGGUGACCGGCCACAUGGGGACUGAGAUACGGCCCAGACUCCUACGGGAGGCAGCAGUGGGGAAUAUUGCACAAUGGGCGGAAGCCUGAUGCAGCAACGCUGCGUGCGGGAUGACGGCCUUCGGGUUGUAAACCGCUUUCGCCUGUGACGAAGCGUGAGUGACGGUAAUGGGUAAAGAAGCACCGGCUAACUACGUG